GGACUCAUUACUCUCAAAAGCCCCUGGCAUUGUGGAUUAUCUGGCUGUCAUCUUGCUUCUGUUGCUGUGAACUCUGAGGGUUGGGGGCUGCGGCUCCCAUCCCCUGUCAGUGAAACCCGCUGGGUGCUGUGCUGUGCACACCUUGACUGUCAGUGUGCAGGGCGUCCUGAGGCACGGGUUGCACUGGAGGACGGGAUGCCACAGCCACCCUGCCACAGCAUCAGAGGCCACUGCCUGGCCCACACAAGGGUGUGGGGGAGGUGUAGUCAUUUCAGCAGGAGGAGUCAUGCUCCUCAUUUUCAAGAAAGGGCCACCUGCUUUUGCAAAACCGAGGCGGAAGUCCAAACACAGAAGGAGCUGCCCAGUUGCACAUACAACUUGAUUGAUUUUGAAAGGAAAGCACGCCAUUGUGCUUCUGUUAUGAAUAAUGGUAAUUGAGACAUGACCUUCAUGAAAUUUCAGAAAAGGAUCCAAGUAGCUGUACAGUGCUGGUCAACUGGAAACACUGUAGACACUCCCAGAAGGAUCUGGGUUGCCACCUCAGGAAAGCUGCUCUGGGCUCCAGGGUGGGCUCCAGGAGGUGGCCUGGUAGACUUCUGCCUGACCUGUGAAAUACAACCAUAGAAACAAAAGGGUAUUAGCUUGUUUUCAUUUUCAAAAUUGAAUAUCUUAUCUCCAGGUUUGUUUUAUUGUUGUUGAAUUAAAA
rnacentral:lncRNA from 1 species